rnacentral:lncRNA from 1 species
CUUUUCAACACCCUGAGACUCAGUGUUACUACAGAAUCCUUGCCUAGGGAGAAUGUGAAAAUGAUACCUCCUGCCAAGCACUUCCAAAGCUAUUCACAUAUUCAAAAGCAAAUGAAGACACCACAGCUAAUCUCUGGGAGACAUCCUGUGCAGCUUGGUGAUGCCCAACAAAUGUAUCAAUUUGGUUGAAACAGAACCACGCAGGUACACAUCCAGAUGGCCAGUUCCUGCCUUAACUGAUGACAUUCCACCACAAAAGAAGUGAAAAUGGCCUGUUCCUGCCUUAACUGAUGACAUUGUCUUCUGAAAUUCCUUCUGGCUCAUCCUGGUUCAAAAGCUCCCCCACUGAGUACCUUGUGACCCCCCAACCCCUGCCCAUCAGAGAACAACCCCCCCUUUGAUUGUAAUUUUACUUUACCUACCCAAAUCUUAUAAAAAUGGGCCCACCCCUAUCUCCCUUCACUGACUCUCUUUUCAGACUCAGCCCGCCUGCACCCAGGUGAAACAAACAGCCUUGUUGAUCACACAAAGCCUGUUUGGUGGUCGCUUCACAUGGACGUGAGUGAAAUUUGGUGCCAUGACUCGGAUUGGGGAACCUCCCUUGGGAGAUCAAUCCCCUGUCCUCCUGCUCUUUGCUCCGUGAAAAAGAUCCACCUAUGACCUUGGGUCCUCAGACCCACCAGCCCAAGG